CAAUACUCCAUAGUUCGUUAUUACUGGAAUUGUUUUUCGAACGAAAGAUCCGUCGCUUCAGGAUGAGUCUGCGGCCGAUUAGGUAGUUGUUGGAGUAAUUGCCCAACAAGCCUGUAAUCGGUACGGGUUGUGGGAGCAAGAGCCCGGAGAUGGAUUCUGAGACACGAAUCCAGGCCCUACGGGGCGCAGCAGGCGCGAAAACUUUACCAUGCGGGCAACCGUGAUAAGGAAACCCCGAGUGCCAGCACAGGCUGGCUGUCCGCCAGUUUAAACAACUGGCGAAGAAAGGGCCGGGCAAGACCGGUGCCAGCCGCCGCGGUAAUACCGGCGGCUCGAGUGGUGGCCGCUAUUACUGGGCUUAAAGGGUCCGUAGCUUGAUAAUAGGGUCCCUUGAGAAAUCCGCCGGCUUAACUGGCGGGCGUUCAGGGGAAACUUGUUUUCUAAGGACCGGGAGAGGUGAGGGGUACUGCCGGGGUAAGAGUGAAAUCCUGUAAUCCCGGUGGGACCACCUAUGGCGAAGGCAAUCUCAACAGAACGGGUCCGAACAGUGAAGGACGAAAACUGGGGGAGCAACCCGGAUUAGAUACCCGGGUAAUCCCAGCUGUAAACUAUGUGCGUUAGGUG
rnacentral:rRNA from 1 species